CGCUGCUCCGGUGUCUGGUGUUUCUCUGCGUGCUGUUGCUGCCGCCUGCCCUGGGAGGGACAAAGAACAAGUAUUCUCGUAGGUGCGGGAGAACUGUUACUCGAGGAGUGCUGGGGACAGCCAAAAGCUAACGACUGUACCAAGAAGUGUUCUAGAACUUUCAAAUGUGUAUACAGAAAUCACACAUGCUGCUGGACCUACUGUGGUAACAUCUGUGCAGAAAAUGCGAAAUUUUUUGAAAGAAAGAAAUGACCCUGACUUCUCGA
rnacentral:lncRNA from 1 species